rnacentral:rRNA from 1 species
UACAGAGGUCCCGAGCGUUGUUCGGAUUCACUGGGCGUAAAGGGUGCGUAGGUGGUGAGGUAAGUCGGAUGUGAAAUCUCCGGGCUCAACCCGGAAAUGGCAUUGGAAACUACCUUGCUGGAGGAUUUGAGGGGGGAUUGGAAUACUUGGUGUAGCAGUGAAAUGCGUAGAUAUCAAGUGGAACACCAGUGGCGAAGGCGAAUCCCUGGAAAAUACCUGACACUGAGGCACGAAAGCUAGGGAGCAAACAGGAGUUAGAAAGCCCU